CCAACCAUUAACUAGGAUCUUACCAAAUUUAAUUUUGUGUUAUUAUUGUUUAUCUUAUUCCAAUGAUCAAAUUGACACCAAUAUUAUGACAGUUCGACAGUUACUUUAGUUGUUUUCUCGUUACUCUUAAAACUGAGACUCUUAUUGCGUCGUAAUAACUACAACAACCUCUCAUCUAAGAAAAAAAAGAAAGGAACCAAACAAACAAACAAAAACUAAACAAAAGGAUUGUCACCAUUAGACUCAUCCAACAAAUGAAGGACAAGCCAAUGAAGACACCGAAUUAUUCAAUCACUGAUUUAAAUUGUAUUGAGAAAAUUCAUGUAAACUGGGCGAUUAGUUCAGUGCCUCAGGGUGAUUGGACUGAGUCCAAUGGAAAUGUAUAAAGCAUUAAGCUCGGGGAUAGGUGUAAUAAAGUUGGAUUGCAAUUAACUAA